rnacentral:rRNA from 1 species
AGGACGAACGCUGGCGGCGUGCUUAACACAUGCAAGUCGAGCGGUAAGGCCUUUCGGGGUACACGAGCGGCGAACGGGUGAGUAACACGUGGGUGAUCUGCCCUGCACUUCGGGAUAAGCCUGGGAAACUGGGUCUAAUACCGGAUACGACCUCAGGUUGCACUGACUUGGGGUGGAAAGAUUUAUCGGUGCAGGAUGGGCCCGCGGCCUAUCAGCUUGUUGGUGGGGUAAUGGCCUACCAAGGCGACG